rnacentral:tRNA from 1 species
GGCCCUAUCGUCUAACGGCUAGGACGCAGCCUUCUCAAGGCUGAAAUCGGAGUUCGAUUCUCCGUAGGGUCA